rnacentral:tRNA from 1 species
UAAUUUAUCUCAGCCACCCCGGUA